CUACGGACCGUGUCAACCGGGCGCGAUGGUACGGUGAACAGGAAGUCAUUUUCCCGGUUUCUCUUCCUGGCCGACGAAAUGGCAGGCGAGCACCUAUCCCAUCCGGCCC
rnacentral:sRNA from 1 species